rnacentral:rRNA from 1 species
UACGUAGGGUGCGAGCGUUGUCCGGAAUUAUUGGGCGUAAAGAGCUCGUAGGCGGUCUGUCGCGUCGGUCGUGAAAACUUGGGGCUUAACCCUGAGCUUGCGGUCGAUACGGGCAUGACUGGAGUUCGGUAGGGGAGACUGGAAUUCCUGGUGUAGCGGUGAAAUGCGCAGAUAUCAGGAGGAAGACCAGUGGCGAAGGCGGGUCUCUGGACAGUUCCUGACACUGAGGCACGAAGGCCAGGGGAGCAAACGGG